rnacentral:rRNA from 1 species
UACGUAGGGGGCAAGCGUUGUCCGGAUUUAUUGGGCGUAAAGAGCGUGUAGGCGGCCAGAUAGGUCAGCUGUGAAAACUCGAGGCUCAACCUCGAGACGUCGGUUGAAACCAUCUGGCUAGAGUCCGGAAGAGGAGAGUGGAAUUCCCGGUGUAGCGGUGAAAUGCGCAGAGUAUCGGGAAGAACACCCGUGGCGAAGGCGGCUCUCUGGGACGGUACUGACGCUGAGACGCGAAAGCGUGGGGAGCGAACAGG